rfam:Chelonia mydas contig209530, whole genome shotgun sequence.
GCCCACUUAGCUCAGUCCAUAGAGCAUGAGAUUUUUAAUCUCAGAGUCAUGGGUUCGAGCCCCACGUUGGGCG